AUCUAGCUGGCUCAGUCAGACGAGCAUGUGACUCUUGAUCCCAGGGUUAUGAGUUCAAGCCCCAUGCUGGAUA
rnacentral:tRNA from 1 species